AACGAACGCUGGCGGCAGGCUUAACACAUGCAAGUCGAACGCACCUUUCGGGGUGAGUGGCAGACGGGUGAGUAACGCGUGGGAAUCUACCCUUCUCUACGGGAUAGCUCCGGGAAACUGGAAUUAAUACCGUAUACGUCCUGAGGGAGAAAGAUUUAUCGGGGAAGGAUGAGCCCGCGUUGGAUUAGCUAGUUGGUGGGGUAAAGGCCUACCAAGGCGACGAUCCAUAGCUGGUCUAAGAGGAUGAUCAGCCACAUUGGGACUGAGACACGGCCCAAACUCCUACGGGAGGCAGCAGUGGGGAAUAUUGGACAAUGGGCGCAAGCCUGAUCCAGCCAUGCCGCGUGAGUGAUGAAGGCCCUAGGGUUGUAAAGCCCUUUCAGUGGGGACGAUAAUGACGGUACCCACAGAAGAAGCCCCGGCUAACUUCGUG
rnacentral:rRNA from 1 species